AUUGAACGCUGGCGGCAGGCUUAACACAUGCAAGUCGAACGAUGACUAACUAGCUUGCUAGUUAUGAUUAGUGGCGGACGGGUGAGUAAUAUUUAGGAAUCUGCCUAGUAGUGGGGGAUAGCUCGGGGAAACUCGAAUUAAUACCGCAUACGACCUACGGGUGAAAGGGGGCGCAAGCUCUUGCUAUUAGAUGAGCCUAAAUCAGAUUAGCUAGUUGGUGGGGUAAAGGCCCACCAAGGCGACGAUCUGUAACUGGUCUGAGAGGAUGAUCAGUCACACCGGAGCUGAGACACGGUCCGGGCUCCUACGGGAGGCAGCAGUGGGGAAUAUUGGACAAUGGGGGCAACCCUGAUCCAGCCAUGCCGCGUGUGUGAAGAAGGCCUUUUGGUUGUAAAGCACUUUAAGCAGGGAGGAGAGGCUAAUGGUUAAUACCCAUUAGAUUAGACGUUACCUGCAGAAUAAGCACCGGCUAACUC
rnacentral:rRNA from 1 species